rnacentral:rRNA from 1 species
AACGAACGCUGGCGGCAGGCCUAACACAUGCAAGUCGAGCGAGAAGCUGUUCUUCGGAGCAGUGGAGAGCGGCGGACGGGUGAGUAACGCGUGGGAACAUGCCCUAUGGUGGGGGAUAACGGUUGGAAACGACCGCUAAUACCGCAUACGCCUGGAUUUAUUCAGGGAAAGAUUUAUCGCCAUUGGAUUGGCCCGCGUUGGAUUAGCUAGUUGGUGGGGUAAUGGCUCACCAAGGCGAUGAUCCAUAGCUGGUCUGAGAGGAUGAUCAGCCACACUGGGACUGAGACACGGCCCAGACUCCUACGGGAGGCAGCAGUGGGGAAUAUUGGACAAUGGGGCAACCCUGAUCCAGCCAUGCCGCGUGCGUGAAGAAGGCCUUAGGGUUGUAAAGCGCUUUCACCGGUGACGAUGAUGACGGUAGCCGGAGAAGAAGCCCCGGCUAACUCCGUG